rnacentral:rRNA from 1 species
UAAGGAAUAUUGGACAAUGGAGGCAACUCUGAUCCAGCCAUGCCGCGUGAAGGAAUAAGGCCCUAUGGGUUGUAAACUUCUUUUAGACGGGACAAAACCCCUUUACGUGUAAAGGGUUGAUGGUACUGUCAGAAUAAGCAUCGGCUAACUUCGUGCCAGCAGCCGCGGUAAUACGAAGGAUGCAAGCGUUAUCCGGAAUUAUUGGGUUUAAAGGGUGCGUAGGCGGACUAAUAAGUCAGUGGUGAAAGCCUGCAGCUUAACUGCAGAAUUGCCAUUGAUACUGUUAGUCUUGAGUACAGUUGAGGUAGGCGGAAUGUGUCAUGUAGCGGUGAAAUGCUUAGAUAUGACACAGUACACCGAUUGCGAAGGCAGCUUGCUAAGCUGUAACUGACGCUGAGGCACGAAAGCGUGGGGAGCAAACA